rnacentral:sRNA from 1 species
UUGAAUAAGAGUCAUUACUUAAACAAAGUGCAAAUGAUAAAUUUGUUUAUUCUGCCACAUUUCAAGGAAAUAAUUACCAAGGCACGGAUUUAAAAAAAAAAUGAGAACUACAAUGAAGUUUAUUAUUGUAUUCAGUACAUUAGCUGUAAUUGGGACAGACGGUAACUGCUCACCUCCUUGUUUUAAAAAUGAAAAUAUCACACAACUACAAACGAGAGGACAAGCUGCUCAAACAUGUAAAAUGUUCUUGGCCCUUAUACUGAUCUUGACUGGUUUAAAAUUGGUGCUACUCUGUUUAAUGUUCAGAUACAUUUACGACCUUUCAGAAUGCUAAAGUAACAAUCGACUUCAAUUUCUCUUUUUCCCCUAAUGGUAAAAAAAAAACAUGUAAGUAAAAGCAUUUGAUAUAGCCUAUUGUGAUUUAUAUUUUAUUAAAGUAUCUAUUACGUAUGCUCUAUAUUGUUUACAAUAAUAUUUAGUAACCUUACGUUUGUAGCGCUCUUUAUAGAUGUAGUAUUUACUUUAUUUUAUGAGAGUGAAAGAUUUAUGAGAGACAGAGAGAGAGAUAGAGAGAGAGAGAGAGUGCCUAUAGAAAGCGCCAAUAACUUCUGAUUUAAACAAACAUACAAAUAGUGAUUUUAAAAACUUAUUUGGUGUUUUACAUUAUAUUAAUCACUAAAGUUCAAGUGUUAAAAAUUAAUGGAUAUAAUCUUUGUCUUUUCUACAAAUUAAUAGUUUUAGUUUUUAAAU